UAAAUCAUUUUUGUUUUCCAUCCUAGUUUAAAAACUGAGCGGAUGCAUAGAAAAAUAUAUAUUCAAAAACGUAACGGAUCUACAUUUACAGUUUCGCUGCAU